GUCCGGACGCCGCCGAGUCGCGUCCGUCCCGCGGACGCGAGCCGGGGACCCACCGCAGGACUGGGGUGAAUCCAGCCCGCGCGCACUCCGCGCGGGCCGGUAGGGCUGCUUCCCGCCCGAACCCGUCAGCUAACCCGGUAGGCGGCUCACGGAAGAACG
rnacentral:sRNA from 1 species